rnacentral:rRNA from 1 species
UAGGGAAUCUUCGGCAAUGGACGAAAGUCUGACCGAGCAACGCCGCGUGAGUGAAGAAGGUUUUCGGAUCGUAAAACUCUGUUGUUAGAGAAGAACAAGGACGUUAGUAACUGAACGUCCCCUGACGGUAUCUAACCAGAAAGCCACGGCUAACUACGUGCCAGCAGCCGCGGUAAUACGUAGGUGGCAAGCGUUGUCCGGAUUUACUGGGCGUAAAGCGAGCGCAGGCGGUUUCUUAAGUCUGAUGUGAAAGCCCCCGGCUCAACCGGGGAGGGUCAUUGGAAACUGGGAGACUUGAGUGCAGAAGAGGAGAGUGGAAUUCCAUGUGUAGCGGUGAAAUGCGUAGAUAUAUGGAGGAACACCAGUGGCGAAGGCGGCUCUCUGGUCUGUAACUGACGCUGAGGCUCGAAAGCGUGGGGAGCAAACAGG